GAUAGAGUUGCAUGUAUUGGGUUGAAAAAUAACCAUUCCUGCCAACAACAGGGUUCUAUUUUCAUGAAUGUGACAAAAACAGUCAUUUGAGAAAGAUAAAUUAAUUGAUUGCAAGAAGAAACGGUAAAAUAAGGAGAAAAAAAGAAAAAAAACAACAACAACCAAAAAAAAAGAAAAGCAAAUCAAAAGUAGGCAGGGAAGCUGUAACAGCUCGUUAGGUGGGAAGCAAUAAGAAUGGCCGUUGAUGUCUGUAUAAUUGAAUAGCAUAACCAUAGCAGUCACAGCUGUUGUACUACAAAGCCAGAGUUUCAGUUUCAUCUUUCAUCAGAAAAUUACAGAAAAUUACUGAUAUGACAUGAAAAGAUUGUCUUUGAUUUGGUCAAUAGUACAUUCCAUUGUAGAUGAUUUGGAGAGAAACUUUUCACUGGCGCCAACAGUUUGGUUUAUCCAUUAAAGGACAAAGACUUGUUCCAGAAGAAACGUUGCCGUGAAUUUGUCAAUGAUCUUUUCCUGAGACACCAUUAUUAGGCAGGACAUUGCUGCCGCAGACGCUGCUGCCGCUACUGCUGCUGCUGCUGCUGCUGCUGCAUCUUGUAUUUAUCUCGGAAAUAAUUACAUACAAAAAAUUUUUUAAAAAAAAGGAAGAAAAAUAUAAAGAGUAAAAAUUAAAAAAAAAUUAAAUGUAA